rnacentral:tRNA from 1 species
GUUGUGGCUCAGCGGUAGAGCGCUGGCCUAGCAUGUGUAAGGUCCUGGGUCCGAUCCUCAGCAUUACA